GACGAACGCUUGCGGCGUGCUUAACACAUGCAAGUCGAACGGAAAGGCCCUGCUUUUGUGGGGUGCUCGAGUGGCGAACGGGUGAGUAACACGUGAGUAACCUGCCCUUGACUUUGGGAUAACUUCAGGAAACUGGGGCUAAUACCGGAUAGGAGCUCCUGCUGCAUGGUGGGGGUUGGAAAGUUUCGGCGGUUGGGGAUGGACUCGCGGCUUAUCAGCUUGUUGGUGGGGUAGUGGCUUACCAAGGCUUUGACGGGUAGCCGGCCUGAGAGGGUGACCGGCCACAUUGGGACUGAGAUACGGCCCAGACUCCUACGGGAGGCAGCAGUGGGGAAUAUUGCACAAUGGGCGGAAGCCUGAUGCAGCAACGCCGCGUGCGGGAUGACGGCCUUCGGGUUGUAAACCGCUUUCGCCUGUGACGAAGCGUGAGUGACGGUGAUGGGUAAAGAAGCACCGGCUAACUACGUGCCAGCAGCCGCGGUGAUACGUAGGGUGCGAGCGUUGUCCGGAUUUAUUGGGCGUAAAGGGCUCGUAGGUGGUUGAUCGCGUCGGAAGUGUAAUCUUGGGGCUUAACCCUGAGCGUGCUUUAGAUACGGGUUGACUUGAGGAAGGUAGGGGAGAAUGGAAUUCCUGGUGGAGCGGUGGAAUGCGCAGAUAUCAGGAGGAACACCAGUGGCGAAGGCGGUUCUCUGGGCCUUUCCUGACGCUGAGGAGCGAAAGCGUGGGGAGCGAACAGGCUUAGAUACCCUGGUAGUCCACGCUGUAAACGGUGGGUACUAGGUGUGGGGUCCAUUCCACGGGUUCCGUGCCGUAGCUAACGCUUUAAGUACCCCGCCUGGGGAGUACGGCCGCAAGGCUAAAACUCAAAGGAAUUGACGGGGCCCCGCACAAGCGGCGGAGCAUGCGGAUUAAUUCGAUGCAACGCGUAGAACCUUACCUGGGUUUGACAUGGAUCGGGAGUGCUCAGAGAUGGGUGUGCCUCUUUUGGGGUCGGUUCACAGGUGGUGCAUGGCUGUCGUCAGCUCGUGUCGUGAGAUGUUGGGUUAAGUCCCGCAACGAGCGCAACCCUUGUUCACUGUUGCCAGCACGUUAUGGUGGGGACUCAGUGGAGACCGCCGGGGUCAACUCGGAGGAAGGUGGGGAUGACGUCAAGUCAUCAUGCCCCUUAUGUCCAGGGCUUCACGCAUGCUACAAUGGCUGGUACAGAGAGUGGCGAGCCUGUGAGGGUGAGCGAAUCUCGGAAAGCCGGUCUCAGUUCGGAUUGGGGUCUGCAACUCGACCUCAUGAAGUCGGAGUCGCUAGUAAUCGCAGAUCAGCAACGCUGCGGUGAAUACGUUCCCGGG
rnacentral:rRNA from 1 species